ensembl:lncRNA
CUUGCAAGCAGACUGCUGACAUCAGCAGAGCGAUUUAAACCAUCUCUAAACAAGAAUGCAGAGAAGGCCCCUUGAGGCAAUGUCACCCCCAUCAACAGGAAGACCCAAAUGGAAGAGAAGCCACCAGCAGCCAGCCUUUCUGCUAGAAAGGCUUUCUAGCAGACACACAGAGGGGAGAGAGAGCCACAGCCUGGGGGUGUAGCCCUCUCCAGCAAGAGGAAUACAAGGGCUUCAUGCUCCAGCUGGGGCACCUGACUCCGGAGGUUCCUGGACAUCCAGGCUCAUCGGCAUAUGCGCAGAAAGAAGCAAAUGGCCCCGGAUUCAUGGACAGUUCAUUGACAAGACCCAUCGGACCUCUUUCUUCCACACAAUGUGCAGAGUGUGCUCAGUG